CCCUCUGUCUAUGUACAAAAUUACUUUCUCUAAAGGAAGCUGAACCCUCAGGCAGAUUUGUUAGAUAAAUAAACUUGACAUGGGUUAGAUCAACUACACUCCUCAAGAAGUAAAAUAAACAUCUCACACAUUCAGUAUGCUACAUGUAUAUUAUGUUCAGCUAUUCGCUUUUUUUUCAUGGUUUUGGUGGGAAGAGGGCAGUAACAAUGUUCAAAUAUUUAGUUAUGUCAUGGUUGUGUGGUGGGAUCAGGGCAGUAUUUUACUCUUUUGUCAUGGAUGUUUGGUGGGAUCAGGGUAGUAUUUUACUCUUUUGACAUGGUUGUUUGGUGGGAUCAGGGCAGUAUUUUACUCUUUUGACAUGGUUGUUUGGUAACAUCAGGGCAGUAUUAAACUCUUUUGUCAUGGUUGUUGGUGGGAUCAGGCCAGUAUUUUAUUCUUUUGUGAUGAUUGUUUGGUGGGAUCAGGUACCUCUCAAUGAAGUAGAUCAUCUAUUUGUUUCCAUCCUUUUCACUCUGAUUGUACAAUAGAAUUUCCUCACAACUUUUGAUGACAAUUCAGCAUAACUCUGAUCUAUCUUUAAAGCAUAAGGAACUAUAUUUAUUCUACAAACUGGAUCCUUCCUUUCCCAUUAGUUGAAAACUGUCUACAUUGGAAUCUGCAUGUACAUGUAUCUUACAUUAGAUUAACAAAUACAGAAAUUAACUUUG
rnacentral:lncRNA from 1 species